GCUUUCGUGGUGUAGUGGUCAGCACGGUUGGCUCGUAUUCGAGAGGUCCGGGGUUCGAGUCCUGGCGAGGGCA
rnacentral:tRNA from 1 species